rnacentral:rRNA from 1 species
UACGGGGGGGGCAAGCGUUGUUCGGAAUUACUGGGCGUAAAGGGCUCGUAGGUGGCCAACUAAGUCAGACGUGAAAUCCCUCGGCUUAACCGGGGAACUGCGUCUGAUACUGGAUGGCUUGAGUUCGGGAGAGGGAUGCGGAAUUCCAGGUGUAGCGGUGAAAUGCGUAGAUAUCUGGAGGAACACCGGUGGCGAAGGCGGCAUCCUGGACCGACAUUGACGCUGAACGGCGAAAGCUAGGGGAGCAAACGGG